UACGUAGGGUGCAAGCGUUGUCCGGAAUUAUUGGGCGUAAAGAGCUCGUAGGCGGCUUGUCGCGUCGGCUGUGAAAACCCGGGGCUCAACCCCGGGCCUGCAGUCGAUACGGGCAGGCUAGAGUCCGGCAGGGGAGACUGGAAUUCCUGGUGUAGCGGUGAAAUGCGCAGAUAUCAGGAGGAACACCGGUGGCGAAGGCGGGUCUCUGGGCCGAUACUGACGCUGAGGAGCGAAAGCGUGGGGAGCGAACAGG
rnacentral:rRNA from 1 species